rnacentral:piRNA from 1 species
UGCUUACGGUCAAGGUCCCUCC